rnacentral:rRNA from 1 species
GAUGAACGCUGGCGGCGUGCCUAAUACAUGCAAGUCGAGCGAACAGACGAGGAGCUUGCUCCUCUGACGUUAGCGGCGGACGGGUGAGUAACACGUGGAUAACCUACCUAUAAGACUGGGAUAACUUCGGGAAACCGGAGCUAAUACCGGAUAACAUGUUGAACCGCAUGGUUCAACAGUGAAAGACGGUUUUGCUGUCACUUAUAGAUGGAUCCGCGCCGCAUUAGCUAGUUGGUAAGGUAACGGCUUACCAAGGCAACGAUGCGUAGCCGACCUGAGAGGGUGAUCGGCCACACUGGAACUGAGACACGGUCCAGACUCCUACGGGAGGCAGCAGUAGGGAAUCUUCCGCAAUGGGCGAAAGCCUGACGGAGCAACGCCGCGUGAGUGAAGAAGGUCUUCGGAUCGUAAAACUCUGUUAUUAGGGAAGAACAAAUGUGUAAGUAGCUAUGCACGUCUUGACGGUACCUAAUCAGAAAGCCACGGCUAACUACGUG